rnacentral:tRNA from 12 species
GGCACAGUGGUAGAGUGGUUAAUACGUGAGACUCGAAAUCUCAUGCCUUCGGGCGCGUAGGUUCGAAUCCUGCCUGUGUCG